rnacentral:misc_RNA from 1 species
GAAAUGCGAUAAGUAAUGUGAAUUGCAGAAUUCAGUGAAUCAUCGAAUCUUUGAACGCACCUUGCACCCUUUGGUAUUCCGAAGGGUACACCCGUUUGAGUGUCAUUGUAAUCUCACUCCAAUACCUUUAUUGAUGUUGGAUGUGGACUUGGAUGUUGUCGUGUUCAACGACUCGUCUUAAAUGCCUGAGUGUACCCUGCUUUGCAGCGUAUCAGUGUGAUAAACAUCUUCACUGUUAAGUCUUUCGGGACACGCUUGUGUUGUAGGCUCUAUGCUUUCUAACCGUCCUCUGGACAAUCUCUGACAAUUUGACCUCAAAUCGGGUGGGACUACCCGCUGAACUUAA